GCCGAGGUGGCGGAAUUGGUAGACGCAGCGGACUUAAAAUCCGCUGGGAUUUUAUCCCGUGCCGGUUCGACUCCGGCCCCCGGCACAA
rnacentral:tRNA from 1 species